CUUCUUCGAUCUGCUGCGGGCAGAUGAAGUGGAUAUGGGUGUCGAUACCGCCGGCGGUGAGGAUCAUGCCCUCGCCGGCGAUCACCUCGGUGCUGGCGCCGAUGGCGAUGGUCACAUCGGGCUGGAUAUCCGGGUUGCCGGCCUUGCCGAUGGCGGCGAUGCGUCCGUCCUUCAAGCCGACAUCGGCCUUGACGAUGCCCCAGUGAUCGAUGAUCAGCGCGUUGGUGAUCAGGGUAUCCACCACAUCGCACGCCAGCAGCUGGCUCUGGCCCAUGCCGUCGCGGAU
rnacentral:sRNA from 3 species